UACGGAGGGGACUAGCGUUGUUCGGAAUUACUGGGCGUAAAGCGCACGUAGGCGGAUUUGUAAGUCAGGGGUGAAAGCCCAAGGCUCAACCUUGGAAUUGCCUUUGAUACUGAGGGCCUUGAGACCGGAAGAGGUCGGCGGAACUGCGAGUGUAGAGGUGAAAUUCGUAGAUAUUCGCAAGAACACCAGUGGCGAAGGCGGCCGACUGGUCCGGUUCUGACGCUGAGGCGCGAAAGCGUGGGGAGCAAACAGG
rnacentral:rRNA from 1 species